rnacentral:lncRNA from 1 species
GGAGGAGGAGUGCAGUGGGGGAGUGAGGGAGUGGAGGGGUAGAGGGGCUUCCGCUUGGCUGGGGUCUAUAGGAGAGAGGGGGAAAGGACUGUUUAAACAGAGGGGGAAAAGAGGAGAGGAAAGGGGGUGGAGUUGAGGACUAUGUUAUGGUAUCAGAGGAGGAGAAGAGCGGGAAUAUAUCUUUAGGAAGAAGAGAAGAGAGAAUAUAUCUGUAGGAAGAAGAGAAGAGGGAAUAUAUCUUUAGGAAGAAGAGAAGAGAGGGAAUAUAUCUGUAGGAAGAAGAGAAGAGAGAGAAUAUAUCUUUAGGAAGAAGAGAAGAGAGGGAAUAUAUCUUUAGGAAGAAGAGAAGAGAGGGAAUAUAUCUGUAGGAAGAAGAGAAGAGAGGGAAUAUAUCUGUGUAGGAAGAAGAGAAGAGAGGGAAUAUAUCUGUAGGAAGAAGAGAAGAGGUAAUAUAUCUGUAGGAAGAAGAGAAGAGAGGGAAUAUAUCUGUAGGAAGAAGAGAAGAGGUAAUAUAUCUGUAGGAAGAAGAGAAGAGAGGGAAUAUAUCUGUAGGAAGAAGAGAAGAGGUAAUAUAUCUGUAGGAAGAAGAGAAGAGAGGGAAUAUAUCUGUGUAGGAAGAAGAGAGGAUAGGGAAUAUAUCUGUAGGAAGAAGAGAAGAGAGGGAAUAUAUCUGUGUAGGAAGAAGAGAAGAGAGGGGGAUUAUAUCCGUGCUCCAGAGAAGGAGAGGGAGGGGGAAUGGGCAUGUGGUAUAGGAGGAGAGUAAAAGGGGAAUGGGUAUGUGGUAUAGGAGGAGAGUAAAGGGGGAAUGGGUAUGUGGUAUAGGAGGAGAGUAAAGGGGGAAUGUGUAUGUGGUAUAGGAGGAGAGAGGGAAUACGUGCCAAUGCUCCACUGCAGUACCAUAGAGGGUGGGGUCUCAGAGCACGUCUGCAG